rnacentral:rRNA from 1 species
UGAAGUCGGAAUUGCUAGUAAUGGCAGGUCAGCAUACUGCCGUGAAUACGUUCCCGGGCCCUUGUACACACCGCCCGUCACACCAUGAGAGUUGGGAAUACCCGAAGCCUGUGAGCCAACAAACGAGGCAGCAGUCGAAGGUAGAAUCAAUGAUUGGGGUGAAGUCGUAACAAGGUACC